GAAUGCAUUUUCCUUUUGGACCAGUGCUGAGGAGGGACUACAAUCGAAAUGAAAUAUGAGAGUGCCACGUGGGUGGACGCCAGAUUGGGGAGGCCUUGAGCACCAGACUACAGAAAGAAAGACCUUGAAAGGGAGAAAAGAGAAGGGGUGGAAUGAAAGCAGGGACCAGCUCAUGUCCUAACGCUUCCUUGUCUGCACCUCUGCUCGCCCUGCCCCUUCCACGUGCUCCUACAGAUCUAUCUUUAGCAUAAAUAUGUCCCAAAUACUGCAUGGAACAUAUUUGGCUAAAAAAUUAAUCUGUUGUUGAUCUGAAGUUUACAGUUAACUAGGCAUUCUGUAUUUUUAUUUGCUGUAUCUGGCAACCCUAAAAGAGAGAAGGUACGUUCUGCUUCCUGUUCCUGACAACUUCACCCCAGACUCACUUCACUCAAGCAGCCACAGUCUAUUCUAGGAGCAGCAUCUGUGUCCAGUGUGCAGUGCGUGCAAUGCCUGCAGACUCAGCCUCAGCCUCAUUUCACACUCUCAGCAAUGCCAGCACCGGCUACCUAGUGCCCCCUCCACAGAAGUCUGGGUCCCAGCAUCGAGGAUCCUCCUCCAGGUUCAGACAUUGGCCCCAGCCAAUCACUGGUCCCUUCACAGAAGUCUGAGCUUCAACUCAGAGAUGGUUUCAACUGCUGUUCCCGCAGCCUUAGGGAUGCCAGUUGCUUCCUCCAGUUGCUACUUCUUGGCACCUCACCUGAGCUUUUGCCAGCGUGUUAAAGAAACCAGACCAGGAAAUGAACAAGAUCCCUUCAGUUCCACUGUGGAGGCAGUGGAACAAGGAGCUGGGGCUGCAGAAGCUGCCUGGGCCUUGUUCUUCUGAAGAUAUGAAGACCAAACCUGCAAGCCAAAAGGAAAUAAUAUCCCAGAUAUAAUCAAAGCCAUGUGACAUUAAAAGUGAAAUAGUUAAACGUAAAUAAAACUGAGAUGUUUACUGGUGUCA
rnacentral:lncRNA from 13 species